rnacentral:rRNA from 1 species
GUAGAGCUCUGAUUGUUAGAGGGUCCCGACAGGGAUACCAAAAACUGUCAAACUCCAAAUACCACGAUACUGUAUCGCAGGAGUCAGACUGUGGGGGAUAAGCUUCAUAGUCGAGAGGGCAUCAGCCCAGACCGUCAGCUAAGGUCCCUAAUUUAAGCUAAGUGGAUUGAAGGAUGUGGAGUUACGUAAACAACCAGGAUGUUGGCUUAGAGGCAGCCAUCAGUUAAAGAACGCGUAAUAGCGCACUGGUCGAGCGAUUCCGCGCCGAAGAUGAUCGGGACUAAGCUUAAAACCGAAGCUGCGGAUUCUAAGUUUACUUAGAAUGGUAGAAGAGCGUUGUAUGUGGAUCGAAGCCGAUAUGAAAAUGGAGGUGGACUUCAUACAAGUGACCAUGCAAGCAUGAGUAGCGAAAAACCGGAUGAGAAUUCCGGUCACCGAAAGACUAAGGUUUCCUGGGCAAGGUUCGUCCUCUCAGGGUUAGUCGGAACCUAAGGCGAGGCGGAAACGCGUAGUCGAUGGACAAUUGGUUAAUAUUCCAAUACCACCUUAUCGGAGUGAUGGAAGGACGCAGUUGCUAAUGUGAUUCUGGCUAUAUGCCAGUCGAAGAUCAUGGGACGCCGGGGGUUAAAUGACCCGGCAUCAGUCUGAAGAUUGACAGGCGGUGGAUCCUUCGGGUGAAUCCGUUUCACUGAUGCUAUACUGACGAGAAAAGCUCCUAAACGUUGAUGAUAGGGUGUCCGUACCGCAAACCGACACAGGUAGUCGAGGCGAAAAGCCUAAGGUGCGCGAGUGAAACCACUUCAAGGAACUCGGCAAAUUGGCCCCGUAACUUAGGGAGAAGGGGUGCCCGACGGGUGAAAGCCCGGAGGGUUUCAACAAAGAGGCCGCGGCGACUGUUUAACAAAAACACAGCUCUCUGCUAACUCGCAAGAGGAUGUAUAGGGAGUGACACGUGACCAAUGCCGAAAGGUCAAAUGGAUCCGUCAGCAGCAAUGCGAAGCGGUGAUAUGAAGCCCCGGUGAAUGUCGGCCGUAACUAUAACGGUCCUAAGGUAGCGAAAUUCCUUGUCGGGUAAGUUCCGACCUGCACGAAUCGUGUAACGAUCGCGGCACUGUCUCGAAGUGGAGCUCGGCGAAGUUGUAAUUCCGGUGAAAAUGCCGGAUACCUGCAGUAGGACGGAAAGACCCUGUGAACCUUUACUGUAAUCUGAUAUUGGUAUUCGUGUGUUCAUGUGUAGUAUAGGUGGGAGGCUUUGAAGCCGCCGCGCCAGCGGUGGUGGAGUCAUCAGUGAAAUACCACCCUUGAUAACUUGAAUAUCUAACUGAAGCCCGUGAAUCCGGGAUUGGGACAGUGUCAGAGGGUCAGUUUGACUGGGGCGGUUUCCUCCAAAACGGUAACGG